rnacentral:rRNA from 1 species
UACGGAGGGGGCGAGCGUUAUUCGGAAUUAUUGGGCGUAAAGGGCGCGUAGGCGGCUGUACAAGUCAAAGGUGAAAUCCCUCGGCUCAACUGAGGAACUGCCUUUGAAACUGUACGGCUUGAGGCCGGGAGGGGGUAGCGGAAUUCCCAGUGUAGCGGUGAAAUGCGUAGAUAUCGAGAGGAACACCUGCGGCGAAGGCGGGUUGCUGGGCCGACACUGACGCUGAUGCGCGAAAGCCAGGGGAGCGAACGGG